GUAACAACUAGCUCAGUCAGUAGAACAUUAGACUCUUCAUCUUAGGGUCGUGGGCUUGAGCCCCAUGUUGGGCA